GCGGAAGCGCGGGCUGCCUGGGUGUCUGGGCUUCAAUCAAAUGUAAUGAAAUCCACCCCCUUCGAUUUUCCCAUGAGGAAACUGAGGGUUUCGUUUCCUACAGCACAAGAAGUCCAACGGAAGGGCCAGUCCAGCGUGGAUUCCGAGGACUUACCGUUACUUAAAUCUAUCUAUCUUUCCCUACUGACGGUCAUAAGAUUCACUCCAUGCAGGAGGGCCAAGUUUAAGAAAACAAGACAUUAAGCAUAAAAUGGAAAUCACAGCAAGAUGAAAUGGAUGCCCACAGACCCUGCCUGAGUAGAAUUCUACUAACAGUGUCACAUUUUUGCCCCAAACCAAAUUUUGUCAGGCGGCCGGGAAUUAACGUACCAAAAAUUUAGCAGCUCAUAUAAUUUUAUCAGGCUACCUUUCCCCAGAGGAAGGAAACAAACAAUAAAACGAAUGAAAUCAUA